GACAACUAUAAAAUCUUAUUUGUUUUUCUAUGUAGUGUCCGAUACAGCGAAACAGUUCAGAUUGCGGAUACUAUGUUUUGAGGUUUAUGAAAGAAAUCCUUCAAACGAAUCAAUUAGAGAUUCCAAUCACGUACUUUGACGACUUCUAUGCUGCUUCUUACACGAGACUUAAGUUGGAAGAAAUCAAAGAGGAUUUGUGUCAAUUUUAUAUUCAUCAGCUAUUCAUGUAGGAUUUGUGUCGAUUUGAAGUAUAAUAUUAUAGUACUCUAGGAUGGUUACAAA